rnacentral:lncRNA from 1 species
CCGCCUUCGAGGGCGGCGCUGGAAAGGGUGCUAACCGUCUUAGCAGGAACUGGAAUUGUAUUUACACAUCAAAGACCAUUAGGGAUGAGAUAAUGGCUAAAAAGGAUAUGAAAAGGAAACACUGGACAAAGGGGUGCGUGGAUACUAACCAGGCUGAUUUCUGGCGGUCCCACCUGCUUGCAAGUAGAACUUUUAUUAUUUUACCCAAAUUCUGUGUCUCUGUGUAUUUCUUUCCGAGAUUUCUGGAACAAUAGCCAGUGGGGAGCAGAAAUCACACAAUGGCAGCAUAUUCUUCAGGACUGAAGAUAUAGCUCAGUGGCAGAGCACUUGCCUAGCAUGCAGAAGCCCCAAAGUUCAAACACCAGUACCAAAAAAAGAAAAUGUCUUUCACAUCCCAAUUGAUGCCUACCCUAUAUUAAAAUCCCCUGAAAGUGCCGGGGAUUUAGCUCAGUGGUUUCACCACCUACUUCGCAAGCACAAGGACCCAAGUUCUAUCCUCAGUACCAAAAAAAAAAAGGUCAUGCCAAUUAAAGGUGGAACUGAUAUGAAGCAUAAGGGAGUAGAGGCAACCUGCUGAGGAGUGUUGAAUAACCAGAAGACCAGUUAUACCAGUAUUGAAGUGGGAGCAGUAGCUUUAACUAUCAUAAUCUUAUGUGGAUGUAAAGCACCUUGAAAUAAAGUAUGACCAGAGCACUGUUAUUUAUUUUAUCAAUCAUAGUUGUCUUCGAUGUUAAAUUCCUAUAGAAUGUCAACAUAUAAUAAUUAUAAAGUUUUACAGGUAAAAUUUGAGAUCAAGGGCCAGGGAUUUAACUCAGUGGCACUGUGCUUGUCUCGCAAGUGCAAGGUCCUGAGUUCGAUACCUGGUACAAAAGAAAAAAAUUGAGAUCAAGGGC